GACGAACGCUGGCGGCGUGCUUAACACAUGCAAGUCGAACGGGAACCUUUAUUUCGGUAAAGGUGAGAGUGGCAAACGGGUGAGUAACACGUAGGCAACCUGCCGACAGGAUGGGGACAACAUUCCGAAAGGAAUGCUAAUACCGAAUGGAGUCCGAGGAUGGCAUCAUCCCCGGAUCAAAGAUGGCCUCUUAACAAUGCUAUCGCCUGUCGAUGGGCCUGCGUCUGAUUAGCCAGUUGGCGGGGUAACGGCCCACCAGAGCGACGAUCAGUAGCCGGUCUGAGAGGAUGAACGGCCACAUUGGGACUGAGACACGGCCCAGACUCCUACGGGAGGCAGCAGUGGGGAAUCUUCCACAAUGGGCGAAAGCCUGAUGGAGCAACGCCGCGUGAGUGAAGAAGGUCUUCGGAUCGUAAAGCUCUGUUGCACGGCACGAAAACCGGGUUUGAAAAUAUUGAGCUUGGGUGGU
rnacentral:rRNA from 1 species